rnacentral:rRNA from 1 species
AGCUGCGUCGAGAACUUCGCUUGGGCGAAGCCUGACAAUGCRACGCUGUGUGAGCGAUGAAGGCCUUCGGGUUGUAAGCUCUUUCGCCUGGGACCAAGGAACCUGGUGAUUAUCUAUGCGAUUUGAGGGUACAAGGAAAAGAAGCMCCGG